CCUACGGGAGGCAGCAGUAGGGAAUCUUCCACAAUGGGCGCAAGCCUGAUGGAGCAACGCCGCGUGAGUGAAGAAGGGUUUCGGCUCGUAAAGCUCUGUUGUUGGAGAAGAACGUGCGUGAGAGUAACUGUUCACGCAGUGACUAUAUCCAACAAGAAAGUCACGGCUAACUACGUGCCAGCAGCCGCUGUAAUACGUCGGUGGCAAGCGUUAUCCGGAUUUAUUGGGCGUAAAGCGAGCGCAGGCGGUUGCUUAGGUCUGAUGUGAAAGCCUUCGGCUUAACCUAAGAAGGGCAUAGGAAACGGGGAGACUUGAGUGCAGAAGAGGAAAGUGGAACUCGAGGUGUAGCGGUGGAAUGCGUAGAUAUAUGGAAGAACACCAGUGGCGAAGGCGGCUGUCUGGUCUGCAACUGACGCUGAGGCUCGAAAGUAUGGGUAGCGAACAGGAUUAGAUACCCGAGUAGUC
rnacentral:rRNA from 1 species